AAAGGAGGCCAAGAAUCUAACUGUAGAGUAUUCUGAGCAGGUACAGAAGCACACAGCAGCAAGACUGAUCCCUGCCAGAGCAGGGCUCAGUUUGAGGCCCAGGAUGCACCGCGCACUGUAAGGGUUUUCCGGAAAGUCAGUGGAGGGGCAUUCCAAGCCUGACACUUAAUGCUCAGAAGAUUCUUAUCUGUCUCUGACUUGAGUGGCUUUCUCAGACCAGAGAAAGAACACCAGCAAUCUGAAAGGAACUUAAUUGGCCUGGACAGUGCCAAUAGGAACAUGCGUUACCAUGGUAGCUAAUGCGCACACUCCUCAAUCAAUAAUGCCGCCUUAUCUGCUUUCUAAAGAAAGGAUAAAUGGAAGAAAGGAAGGAAGGAAAGCCACCCGUCCUGCAAAGAUGCCCCCUUGUGCCGUUACCUUUCUGGAUUCUUCCGGUUGCCUGAAAAGCUGACAGGUAUUGCCCCCAGCACUGUGUUUACACCAUAACUCACCCACAACUGGUGGGACCACAGCUGAGUCGAAGACUCUGCUGAGGAUGUUGGAUUGUCACUCGGAGCACGUGUCAACCCAGAAAACUUAACAAAGGGAAGGAGAAGACCCAGGCAUGGAAGUACAUGUCCAUCAUCCUAGAACUUAAGAACCUGAGGCAGGGGGAUUUCAAAUUGAAGGCCAGACUGAACUACAUAGUGAGUUCCAUGUCAGCCAGCAGAUACCUUAUCUAAGACAAAGAAAGAAGAAAAGAAGUGAACGAAAGGAGAGGAGGGGAACAAGAGGAAAGGGACAAACAAGAACAGCUACCAGAGCAGUGUCCCCAUCUUUAGAGCAUGAGAAGAUGAUGGCCCUGUUGGCUGAAGCUUUGCCCUGUUUGGACCCAAGCUGCCAUGGGGCCUCAGCAACACUGCUGUCUUCCUGGGACCUGGGAUUCUGGAUCACACAAAAUGUCCCCCUCUUCUCAAGUGGGCUUGUGUGUUUGACUGUGAUCAUUCUAUGAGAUCUGAUUGCUGCUUGAGCUUGAACCUGAUUCUGGUCAACAAUGACAAGGUGGACAUGGAUAAUACAAAAUAGUCAGACAUCUAAGAGUAUUGAGUCAUACAGCCCACCCAGAAAUGAUCCAGAGGGCAUUGUGAAAUUAAUGUGCUUAAGUUCCUGAAUUUUGAAACUCUUCGAACAAUAGCACACACCCUCAAAAUGGUCCUGAGCUGCAAGUCUGCCAUUUCCUGUUGUGUCCUAGGUCUGCUUAUCUCUGCUCGAUGGUCCUGACAGGGCAUGAACUCAUCACUCCCUCUCCUUGCUCCAUGGCACCUCCCUUGGAUGCUCUAGUGAUGUGGAGCUCAUUCUGGGGAUGUAAUUUUCCUGAUAGCCAUGAGAAGAAGGCAACAAGCUGGGGAAAAAGCAGAUGUUGAGUUCUUUCUGGAAGAACCUUGCUAUUGGGCCUCACACACUCUAUCAAGAAACAGUGACUAAGAACCUCAGUGGUUGGGUAGCCACCGAGGUUCAAAGGUGGCUCACAAAUUCUGAAGGAAGACCCAUGAGAGAGCCAGGGGAAUGAAAAUUCCCACAGGAAAAAGAGAGACAGUGACUGUUUGAGGGCUGCCAGGGUGUCUGGACAAGAAAACAGUGCCAAGCUUGGGCGCACUUAGGGAUGAUGGGUCAAGGGUCAUGAGAGCAAGGGAAGAUCCUAUUCCUGGACACAGGAUCCAGACGUGUCACUCAAGAGAGAUUUGUCCAACCCAAGUUUUUUUUUUUUUAGAUACCAUGUGCUUUUAAUAACUCAUCACCGGUAACACUUCAUAAUCAAGAGUAAGUUAAUAGGCUAGCAUUUAAAAACGUACACUUUCAUAAGGGUAUAGGCCAGCUUGUAGGGAAGUGACCAAGAUACAUAAGGUAGGAGAUUCAAGUGACCGCCUGGAGUUUCUA
rnacentral:sRNA from 1 species